rnacentral:misc_RNA from 1 species
GCGUCCCUAAGCCCAGUUUUAUGUGGAUCUGAUCUUAUUUUUGUUAUUUCUUUUGGAAAUACGAUUGGAAUUUAGAUGGGGAUACCUUUUUAGAUUGAUUUUGUGUUGGUCUUGUUUGCUUUUUUCUGUAUAUGCAAUUUUGGUUUGAUUUUGUAUUACCUUGUAAAAGCUAGAAAAGUUCUGUUAAUACUAAAUUUCUGCAAUGUUUCAUUUGGGUUAGAUGUUCUAUGUGGGUGGGUGAUAUCCGAUCUGGGGUUCACCCUGGUCAGAAGUGGGUCUGAAAUGUUUUGCUGUCUUAGACAGAUAGCUCCUAGCCUCUUAUUGUUUGGCCACUAAGUGUUAGGAACUUUUGGUAUUGAUUUCUUUUCAAUAAUAACAUUUUGUAUAAACUGAGCUUGAUAUAGCUACUUAGAUUGAUUAGCUUUUCUGUUUUUGUAAAUUUGUCAUUGUUGUUGUUGUUGUUGUUGGAUUUUUUGUUUUCUUGUUUUAUCAACGGCAUAGUGAAAGAUUACUGUUAUUUAACUGUGCAAUUAUUGGCUUUUGCUGUUUUGUACAAUUGACAGUGUCCUGUCCGUUUUAAGAGUUGCCAUGUAGCUUUUGCACUGGUAAUUCAGGGGGCUUUUAU